GCUGGCAUCUUGAUCAUGGACUCCUGGGCUCCAGAACUGUAAGAAAAUACAUUUGUGUUGUGGAAGCCACCCAGCCCAUGGUAUUUCGUUAUGGCAGCCUGAGCAGAGGUGGUAGCUAUGUGGACUGUUUUUGGACUUCUCUAUUUGCCACAUUAUAGGAAUAUAUUAUGCUGCUUUGUCACAUGCUGUAAGAAAAGUAACUGCUAUGGCGUUGAGAAGGUACGAGAAAGAUAAGAAAACAGAAGCAAAGGCAGAAAGAUGCUACAUUGCCAGCUUUGAAGAUGGAGGGAAGAGGCCACAAACCAAGGAAGCAAGACGGCCCUCACCAGAUGUCAGCACCUCCUAUGAUAUUGGACUUUCCAGCCUCCAGAUUCAUGAGAAAUAAA
rnacentral:lncRNA from 1 species